AGUAGUUUGAUCAUGGCUACAGAACGAACGCUGGCGGCAGGCCUAAAACAUGCAAGUCGAACGCCCUAGCAAUAGGGAGUGGCGCACGGGUGAGUAACAUGUGGGAAUAUGCCUUUUGGUACGGAACAACUUUUGGAAACGAAAGCUAAUACCGUAUGGUCCCUUCGGGGUAAAGAUUUAUCGCCAAAAGAGUAGCCCGCACUGGAUUAGCUAGUUGGUAAGGUAAUGGCUUACCAAGGCGACGAUCCAUAGCUGGUCUGAGAGGACGAUCAGCCACACUGGGACUGAGACACGGCCCAGACUCCUACGGGAGGCAGCAGUUAGGAAUAUUGGACAAUGGGCGCAAGCCUGAUCCAGCCAUGCCGCGUGAGUGAUGAAGGCCUUCGGGUUGUAAAGCUCUUUAGCCGACGAAUAUAAUGACUGUAGUCGGAAAAUAAGCCCCGGCUAACUUCGUG
rnacentral:rRNA from 1 species